UGGGGAAUCUUGGACAAUGGGGGCAACCCUGAUCCAGCCAUGCCGCGUGAGUGAUGAAGGCCUUAGGGUCGUAAAGCUCUUUCGCCUGUGAAGAUAAUGACGGUAGCAGGUAAAGAAACCCCGGCUAACUCCGUGCCAGCAGCCGCGGUAAUACGGAGGGGGCUAGCGUUGUUCGGAAUUACUGGGCGUAAAGCGCGCGUAGGCGGGCUGUUAAGUCGGGGGUGAAAUCCCGGGGCUCAACCCCGGAACUGCCCUCGAUACUGGGCAGCCUAGAGGUCGAGAGAGGUGAGUGGAAUUCCGAGUGUAGGAGGUGAAUUCGUAUGAGUAUUUGGAGGAACACCAGUGGCGAAGGCGGCUCACUGGCUCGAUACUGACGCUGAGGUGCGAAAGUGUGGGGAGCAAACAGGAUUAGAUACCCUGGUAGUCCACACCGUAAACGAUGAAUGCCAGUCGUCGGGUAGCAUGCUAUUCGGUGACACACCUAACGGAUUAAGCAUUCCGCCUGGGGAGUACGGUCGCAAG
rnacentral:rRNA from 1 species